rnacentral:rRNA from 1 species
AUGCCUCAUACAUGCAAGUCGAACGAGGUCUUCGGACCUAGUGGCGCACGGGUGAGUAACAUGUGGGAAUCUGCCUGAAGGUUCGGAAUAACUGCGGGAAACUGUAGCUAAUACCGGAUGUGUCUGAAAAGAGAAAGAUUUAUCGCCUUCAGAUGAGCCCGCACUAGAUUAGCUAGUUGGUGAGGUAACUGCUCCACCAAGGCUACGAUCUAUAGCUGAUUUGAGAGGAUGAUCAGCCACACUGGGACUGAGACACGGCCCAGACUCCUACGGGAGGCAGCAGUAGGGAAUAUUGGACAAUGGGGGAAACCCUGAUCCAGCAAUGCCGCGUGAGUGAAGAAGGCCUUCGGGUUGUAAAACUCUUUCAUCAAUGAUGAUAAUGACAUUAGUUGAAGAAGAAGCUCCGGCUAACUUCGUGCCAGCAGCCGCGGUAAUACGAAGGGGGCUAGCGUUGUUCGGAAUCACUGGGCGUAAAGCGUAUGUAGGCGGAUCAAAAAGUUAGAUGUGAAAUCCCUGGGCUCAACCCAGGAACUGCAUUUAAAACUAGUGAUCUAGAAUUUGGUAGGGGUUAGUAGAAUUUCCAGUGUAGAGGUGAAAUUCGUAGAUAUUGGAAAGAAUACCAGUGGCGAAGGCGACUAACUGGGCCAUUUUUGACGCUGAGAUACGAAAGCGUGGGUAGCAAACAGGAUUAGAUACCCUGGUAGUCCACGCAGUAAACGAUGAGUGCUAGUCGCUGGGACAUUAGUUUCAGUGUCGACGCUAACGCAUUAAGCACUCCGCCUGGGAAGUACG